ACAAGUAAACAACUGGCUGGCUGUUCAGGAUUUAAUAUCCAAACAUAUUUUAUUGAUCCCCACAAAAUGUGAAUGGGAGCCAAAUUGAUCAGAUUACCUAAAGAUUCAGUUGAACUGGUCCAAAGUUGAAGCCAGUUUGCAGUGAACUCUUUCCACCAAGAUCCUGACUGAGUUUACAGCAGCGAUGUGAAGAAACAGGCUGCUGUCAUUCUGUCUCUGGAGCCUGUUUAGAUUUAUUUACUGGUAUUUCUUCUUAGAAAUGUUUUUCUUGUAAACUCUGUGUUUUCAUAUCCCUCAUUUAGACAUUUGUCUAAAACGUCCCUCCCAGUAAAAGUUCCUCUUCUAAGCUGAAGGAAACCACACGACUUAUUUCUGUCUCUCUGUGUGAACCGAGGAGUCUGUUCUUCCAUUAGCUCUGUUACGAUGUUCAGAGUAAAUGUGUUCACUCCUGUGCACAUUAUCACUUCGUCUUGCUUUGUUUUUGGAUUUAAACAUUCAUCACGAUUUAGUAGGAAAUCCUUGCAAGUUUUUGCAAAAGUACAAAAGUGAAGCAUCAGGUUCUAAAAUGAUCUUAGUCUGGCCUCAAGGGGAAGAAAACACAUAAUGUAUUUUGCAUUAGAUUGACAGACAACACCAACUCACAGACACACAAUAAUAAUUUGGCACCAGCACAGCCUGUGUUGUACAGGGGAAAAUACAAUUGUUUUUUUUACUUUUGUUGUGCUUUGCAUGUUUAGAUCGUUUUUGGGUUUGUUGUUUCUGUUUGGUUUUUUCCCUUUAACAAUCCAAGCGCACUGGACUGAAGGUGGUUCUCUAAGGAGGCGGAGCGCACUAAUUGGCCGCACAUACAGGUGUCAGCAGAGGCUGAUUGAGGCCGGAAUAAAAGGAGCCUGGAUGGAAGAGGAAGAGAGGACUGAUUCUGUAGGCUACGGAGACUGGCACGCUGCAGAGUGAGGGGGCAGACGGAACCCGUACGUCAGGCACAGAACACCGGGAGUUGAACAGACGGUCCAGUACAGAGGACCUCUGCCCUGAUCCUUUGGAUUGGGCCGAAGAGUGGAGCGGUGCUGGAGCGUCACGCAGUCAGCUGUGGAUCGGCAAAAGAGAGCGCUGCAGACGGAUCGUCUCUACCAGGAGCAGCAUAAGAAGCGGAACCCAACCCGUGGCCUCUAAUUGGUGACUUUUGUUUAAGGACAAUUAUUGAUUCCUGGAUUUUAUGGAGGAAAAAGGGGAUGGUUUUAAUGUGUCACUAUUAGAGUGACUUUCUUGUAAUAAGAUACAUUGCGCUUGA